UGGUGCGAUCAUACCAGCACUAAUGCACUGGAUCCCAUCAGAACUCCUCAGUUAAGCGUGCUUAGGUGAGUGUAGUACUGGGAUUGGUGACCUCUUGGGAAGUCCUCGUGUUGCACCCC